AAGUGAGAAGCAAAAGUUGCAAUCAGUUUCGACCUGGUCCUAGAUAAAAAAAUUUAUCCUUACUUU
rnacentral:tRNA from 1 species